AACGAACGCUGGCGGCAGGCCUAACACAUGCAAGUCGAGCGAGGACUUCGGUCCUAGCGGCGGACGGGUGGGUAACGCGUGGGAACGUGCCCUUUGCUUCGGAAUAGCCCUGGGAAACUGGGAGUAAUACCGGAUGAGCCCUUUGGGGGAAAGAUUUAUCGGCGAAGGAUCGGCCCGCGUUGGAUUCGGUAGUUGGUGGGGUAAUGGCCUACCAACCCGACGAUCCAUAGCUGGUUUGAGAGGAUGAUCAGCCACACUGGGACUGAGACACGGCCCAGACUCCGACGGGAGGCAGCAGUGGGGAAUCUUAGACAAUGGGGGAAACCCUGAUCUAGCCAUGCCGCGUGAGCGAUGAAGGCCGUAGGGUUGUAAAGCUCUUUCAGCUGGGAAGAUAAUGACGGUACCAGCAGAAGAAGCCCCGGCUAACUCCGUG
rnacentral:rRNA from 1 species